UUUAACGGCCGCGGUAUCCUAACCGUGCAAAGGUAGCGCAAUCAAUUGUCCCAUAAAUCGAGACUUGUAUGAAUGGCUAAACGAGGUCUUAACUGUCUCCUACAGAUAAUCAGUGAAAUUGAUCUUCCUGUGCAAAAGCAGGAAUGCCUACAUAAGACGAGAAGACCCUGUGGAACUUAAAAAUCAGCGACCACCACAUACAAACCCAACCCUACCAGGCUCACUACCCUCAAACUCUGGUCCGCAUUUUUCGGUUGGGGUGACCUUGGAGAAAAAUAGAUCCUCCAAAAAUAAGACCACAUCUCUUGACCAAGAGCAACCCCUCAACGUACUAACAGUAACCAGACCCAAUACACUUGAUCAAUGGACCAAGCUACCCCAGGGAUAACAGCGCAAUCUCCUCUAAGAGCUCGCAUCGACGAGGAGGUUUACGACCUCGAUGUUGGAUCAGGACAUCCUAAUGGUGCAGCCGCUAUUAA
rnacentral:rRNA from 1 species